UCUACGUUUCUGUGCACAAUGUCCAACAUACUCAUACUCCUUCUUCUGAUGUCUUUCAGCUCAUGUUCUGACUCUCAGAAUGUUGUGGCUCAGGAGUCUGCAGUAUCAGUUCUCCCUGGUGGAAGUGUCGGUCUUUCCUGUAGUUGGACAGGAGGCUCGGUAACUGGCAAUAACCACCCAUGCUGGGUACACCAGACACCUGGCAGUACCCCUAAGCUUGCAGUUGGAAGUUAUGGUACUGGCAAUCAGAACUAUAGACCCUCAUGGACCCCAGAACGAUUCACUGGCUCAAUCUCUGGUGGAAAAGCCAUUCUCUCUAUUAACAGAGCCCAGGCAGAGGAUGAUGGUGUAUAUUACUGUGCUCUGUGGAUUAGUAGUGCUCCCACAGUGUUACAACUUAUUGCACAACAGAGACAUUAACUUCCUUUUUUCUUUUUCAUAGAGACUUUCUGUAGAAGCCAAGUAAGACAACUCAAGAUGUUCUAGCAGAAACACCUGAAAAUAAUUUCGUUUGGGGCUAUUCCAGUAUUGCCUCCUCCCCAAAAACGGUGCUGAUAUAUAGACAAAUUUAUAUAAAUAUAUGCACAUAUUUAAAACUCCAUGCUAACCCUAUAAUACAAUAAUCCACCACAACCAUAAAGAUAGAAAUACAGAGAUGUGGGUUACUCACCUGAAACAGAAUGCUCCCAGUUAAAAAAAAGUAAAAAAAUCUAAAGGAAGUCCCACACCAGAGAGGCCAAUCAGAAAGGGCUAUCUAAACGUGGCCAUACACAGCUGAUUCUAGCUGCUGAUAUCAGUCCCAUAGACUGAUUCGGCAGCUAAUCAGCCCAUGUAGGGGCACUAACAACGGCCUGAAAUCAGCCAGAAAUCAGCCAGGGUUUAAGGGAGGCUCAAUAGAAAA